AUUAGAUACCCUGGGUAGUCCACGCAGUAAACGAUGGAUGCUAGCUGUCCGGGGCGAAUGAGUUCUGGGUGGCACAGCGAAAGCGUUAAGCAUCCCACCUGGGGAGUACGCCGGCAACGGUGAAACUCAAAGGAAUUGACGGGGGCCCGCACAAGCGGAGGAACAUGUGGUUUAAUUCGAUGAUACGCGAGGAACCUUACCCGGGCUCAAACGGCACAGUGAUACUUUUGAAAGGAGGUAGCUCUACGGAGACUGUGCCGAGGUGCUGCAUGGUUGUCGUCAGCUCGUGCCGUGAGGUGUCGGCUUAAGUGCCAUAACGAGCGCAACCCCUAUUGUCAGUUGCCAGCAGGUAAAGCUGGGGACUCUGACGAGACUGCCGGCGCAAGCUGAGAGGAAGGCGGGGAUGACGUCAAAUCAGCACGGCCCUUACGUCCGGGGCGACACACGUGUUACAAUGGCAGGCACAGCGGGAAGCCACCCGGCGACGGGGAGCGGAACCCGAAAGCCUGUCUCAGUUCGGAUCGGAGUCUGCAACUCGACUCCGUGAAGCUGGAUUCGCUAGUAAUCGCGCAUCAGCCAUGGCGCGGUGAAUACGUUCCCGGGCCUUGUACACACCGCCCGUCAAGCCAUGGAAGCCGGGAGCGCCUGAAGCGCGUGACCGCGAGGAGCGCGCUAAGGUGAUACCGGUGACUGGGGCUAAGUCGUAACAAGGUACC
rnacentral:rRNA from 1 species